rnacentral:rRNA from 1 species
CCUACGGGUGGCAGCAGUGGGGAAUAUUGGGCCAUGGACGCAAGCCUGCACCAGCAAUGCCGCGUGAAGGAAGACGGCUUUCGGGUUGUAAAAUUCUUUUGACAGGGAAGAGCAGAAGACGGUACCUGUCGAAUAAGCAACGGCUAACUACGUGCCAGCAGCCGCGGUAAUACGUAGGUGGCAAGCGUUGUCCGGAUUUACUGGGUGUAAAGGGCGUGUAGCCGGGCUGACAAGUCAGAUGUGAAAUCCGGGGGCUCAACUCCCGAACUGCAUUUGAAACUGUUCGUCGUGAGUAUCGGAGAGGCAGGCGGAAUGCAUAGUGUAGCGGUGAAAUGCGUAGAGAUUAGGAGGAACACCAGUGGCGAAGGCGG